AACAAAUCAAGUCAAAGGCUGAGCUCAAAAUUAAAAGCAAACUCUCAAUCGUUCAACUAAAUAAGCAUAAAAUGUUUUAUAUGUUAAAAUAACAUAAACAGUAGGAAUUGCAUCAAUUAUCAAUGAUUAGACAAAAAUAAUAUCACAUUGCCUAAGAUUUGAAAAGGAAAAGAGAAAGGGCAAGGCAAUCACAAAUAAGAAAAUAAUUUAACAAAGCAAAGAGAAGAUCAUAGCAACAAAAUUGAAAUCCUCAUCAAUGAAAUAUAGACACAAAUGAUCAGUCCAACAGGGAUGGCAGUCCAGGCAGAGAGCUCCUUGGCAUCGUUGUGAUGUCCUGUCGACUCAGUUACUUGCUUUUUUCCCUUUACCAAGAAAUGAAUUGAUCCAUGGAGAAAGCAGAUGACCUCUGUUAGUAGCAAUUUGCUUGUUACGUCAUCUCUUUCAAGAAAAAAUUGAGCCCAUAAAAUGUUUUGCUAAUAAAAUGGAUCACAUAAUCACACAUGAACAACUUCUUUCAUUUCCAUUCUCAAAUUCAUCAUCUGAAUCAGCUGUUUCACUUGGCUCAAAUUCCCUGAUUUCAACAAGCUCACUCCCACAAACAUCCGUCCACUGCACUUUUCUCCUUUCUGUAAGACCAGGGACAUCACUGCCUUUUUCACCCAAUGCAUUGUGUUGAUUAGAAUCCUCAACGGGAACUGGAAUGCUACUUGAUGGCUUCUUCAAGCUACUCUUAAGAGCAACUCUUCUUGCAUAAUUAUCACCUUGAACUUCAGUUGUAUGGUCUUUGCCCUUGUCAGUGACAGGAGGAUCUGGCAAGACAUCCUGCUGUUGGGCAGGGCCUACUUUGAGAGGCGAUGGAGAAUCAAGCCCUGCGGAAGCGCGACCAAAGCAAACAAAGGAAGCGCACCCGCGGGAAAGCCGGUUCUUCAAGGAAGCCAGCUGGAGGUUAGGGUCUGGUUCGUUAUCCACCAACUGGUACUGAUUCCACGGCGAAACUCUCAUGGGUUUAUCUUCGGGCUUCUGACCCAAGAGAAGAAGGGUCAGACCCUUGCUAUACCCAGAAGCUGAAGAAGAGAAGAACCCUCCUCCUUCCACGGCCAAUAACAUCAGUUCUAAUCAUCUGGGCACCAAAAAAUAUAGUGUUGGUGUAGCUCCCAGUCCUUUUGCAUUAACAAAGACACCAGCCCUUCAGACACCCAUAUCUCAGUGUCAGACAGGUUGUGAGGCUGCAAAAAGCCAUAAAAAAAAUAUAUAUGUAUAAUAUAAAAAAAUAGAAGAGAUAGAAAGAGAUUAAAAAUGAUAAUGACAAUGAAAAUCCGAAUGAUGAAGUUCGCAAGGGUUGCUAUGAACCAAUAUAUGGUAUUGAACUUGCGAUAGCAGCUGAUGUACCACUAAUAAUUAUAAAUGUACACCCCCAAACCAUCUCACUAGCAGAAACAGUAAAUCCCCAGCCAUAAAAGAAUGAAACAACCAGAACAAGGGGAAAAAAAAGUGGCAAAGAAAAUUGCACUAAAUUCAAUAAUCAGUCAGAGAUGAGAGAACCAAUCUGUCGCAGGUAAAAAGAAUACUUAAAAUCUACUCCACAUUAAGUCAUAUCACAAACGGUCAACAAAAGUUUUGACCAGGAAAAAUGGCAGGGAAUUGACAAAUGAUAACUGAUCAUGGAAAGCGUCAAACCAUUAAAUAAAUGCAACCCAAAUCUAACAAACAUGCAAAAUCGGAAUUAGCUUAUCAAAACAUGAUAAAGAAACACAAAAUCGGAAGAAUCACAAGCUGUGAAAGUACUAAACAGCACCUUUUACCAUUAAUUGCCUUCAAAUAUACCUGAAGAAACUUCACAACAAUGGCAGAACCAGAUACUUUCACCAGCUGAUCUAAAUGCAAUAAUAAACAACGAUUGAAACAAACAAAAUUUCUUUAAUUUUUCCAAAAAAAACACAAAAUUCCUGCAAAUCAUCAAUAAUUAAAGUACAAAAUCCUCAUUUCGCAAGCCAAAAAGGACAGUAAAGAUCUGUUUAUUCCAAGUAGUAAUAAUAAUAAUAAUUAUAAUUAGCUAACAUGCAUCGCUCACUUCAGCUAUUCCUCACACCUCUGUUUUGUUACAGAGAAAACACACACACACACAAAAAAGCAAAAUUCUCAUUAAACUACUUUUUUUCACAGUGCCAUUGAAACCAACUCAUAACAAAAGAUUUUCUCGUGAAACUAAGAGAAAAUAGGAUACCUGAAAAGGACAGCACAGAUCUGAGAGAGAGAUUCUCGGAGUCUAAAUCGGCGGCGCCGGCAUAUCAGGUCGAAUAAAUCGGCGAUGAAUUGGAGAAGGGAAAAAAAACUGAAGGAGAAUAAAUAAAAAAGAAAAAGGAAAAACAUAAAACAGGGGUAAAAAAUUAAAAAGAUU
rnacentral:misc_RNA from 1 species